rnacentral:rRNA from 1 species
CCUACGGGUGGCAGCAGUGGGGAAUAUUGCACAAUGGGGGAAACCCUGAUGCAGCGACGCCGCGUGAGUGAAGAAGUAUUUCGGUACGUAAAGCUCUAUCAGUAGGGAAGUAAAACCGGCCUUAGGGCCGCCAGACGGUACCUGACUAAGAAGCGCCGGCUAACUACGUGCCAGCAGCCGCGGUAAUACGUAGGGGGCAAGCGUUAUCCGGAUUUAUUGGGUGUAAAGGGAGCGUAGAUGGCUUGGCAAGUCAGAUGUGAAAGGCUGGGGCUCAACCCCAGGACUGCAUUUGGAACUGUCAUGCUAGAGUGUCGGAGAGGCAGGCGGAAUUCGUGGUGUAGCGGUGAAAUGCGUAGAUAUUAGGAGGAACACCAGUGGCGAAGGCGGCCUGCUGGACGAUGACUGACGUUGAGGCUCGAAAGCGUGGGGAGCAAACAGGAUUAGAUACCCUUGUAGUC